UGGGUCGAUGCCCGAGUGGUUAAAGGGGGCGGAUUGUAAAUCCGCUGUGUUAUGCUACGUUGGUUCAAAUCCAACUCGGCCCAA
rnacentral:tRNA from 2 species